CACGAACCGUCCAAACGUUAUUCGGAAUCAUUGGGCUUAAAGGGUGCGUAGGCGGACCAUUAAGUCGGGUGUGAAAUCCUUCGGCUCAACCGAAGAAUUGCGCCCGAUACUGGUGGUCUUGAGGGAGACAGGGGUGAACGGAACUGAUGGUGGAGCGGUGAAAUGCGUUGAUAUCAUCAGGAACACCGGUGGCGAAAGCGGUUCACUGGGUCUCUUCUGACGCUGAGGCACGAAAGCUAGGGUAGCGAAC
rnacentral:rRNA from 1 species